rnacentral:tRNA from 1 species
UGGCUCAGAGGUUAUAGCAUCUGCCUGCAGUGCAGAAGACCCGGGUUCAAUCCCUGG